GACGAACGCUGGCGGCAUGCCUAAUACAUGCAAGUUGGACGAUGAUAUUCUCUGCUUGCAGAGAAUUGAAGAGUAGCGAACGGGUGAGUAACACGUGGGGAACCUGCCCAUGAGAGGGGGAUAACAUUCGGAAACGGAUGCUAAUACCGCAUAAUGCUUUGGACCGCCUGGUCCAGAGACGAAAGACGGCUUUUGCUGUCACUCAUGGAUGGCCCCGCGCCGUAUUAGCUAGUUGGUGAGGUAAUGGCUCACCAAAGCUGUGAUACGUAGCCGACCUGAGAGGGUGAUCGGCCACACUGGGACUGAGACACGGCCCAGACUCCUACGGGAGGCAGCAGUAGGGAAUCUUCCACAAUGGGCGAAAGCCUGAUGGAGCAAUGCCGCGUGAAUGAAGAAGGUCUUCGGAUCGUAAAGUUCUGUUAUUAGAGAAGAACAAGUCAAGGAGUAACUGUCUUGACUUUGACGGUACCUAACCAGAAAGUCACGGCUAACUACGUG
rnacentral:rRNA from 1 species